UAUAUGUCGUUUAAUGAUAAAUUUUUAUGAUAAAAUAAAAAUAACAUCGCAGAAUAAUUAAGUACUACUUUCUAAACUACCGGUGGCAAAUUGAAACCGCGCCAAGCGACAGGGGGUUAAAGUAAAGUUUACACUAAUAAAUUAUAAGGAGAAUAAUAAACUGAGGGAAAAUUGAUUUUCCUUCUACUACUAGAUACACGUUAAACUACAGAGUACUAAAGUAAGAAAGUGCGAAACCACAGAGAUGAUAUUUGAAGUUUACCCUUUCUAUUAAUUAUACAUUAUAUAUGAGCAUUUCUUAUACAUUCAGUGUACAACUUUUUUUACACUAUGAAAUUUUAAUUUUGUUAUAUCAAUAGGGUACUAAAGUGAGAAAAUGAAAACACAUGAUACUAACUUUAUAUACUUUAAACCACAUGGCACUAAAGUGAGAAGGUGGAAAAGUACAGAGGUGGUAUUUGAAGUUUAUCCUUUUUGUUAAUUAUAGAUUGUAUAUGAGUAUAUAUUAUACAUUCAGUGUACAAUUUUUUUUACACCGUAUGAAAUUUUAAUUUUGUUAUAUCAACUAUUAAAAAAUAGAAUUGGUUCAUGCGCUAAAAUUUUACACUUAGUAUAGAAAAAAAUAAAAAAGAAUUCAAAUUAUAUAUUGUAUAUGAACAUGUUUUAUACACUUGGUGUAUAAUUUUUCUUUACACCGUAUGAAAUUAUAAUUUUAUUAUAUCGACUAUUAAAAAAUAAGAUUGGUCUAUACGAUAAAAUUUUACACUCGGUGUAAGUAAAGAAAAAAAAAAGGGUGUUGAGUGGAAAAAAAAAAGAAGAAAAGAAUGUAUGGUGUGUGUGUGUGUGUGUGUGUGUGUGUGUGUGUG
rnacentral:lncRNA from 1 species